rnacentral:rRNA from 1 species
AACGAACGUUGGCGGCGUGGAUUAGGCAUGCAAGUCGAACGAAGACGGGGUAGCAAUAUCCCGGACUGAGUGGCGAAAGGGGCAGUAAUGCGUGGGUAACCUACCUCUGGGAUGGGGAUAGCCUCUCUAACGGGAGGGUAAUACCCGGCGAUGUAACGAGGGGGCAUCUCCUUGUUACCAAAUGAAUUUCGCCCGGAGAGGGGCUCACGUGCUAUUAGCUUGUUGGCGGGGUAACGGCCCACCAAGGCUGAGAUGGCUAGCAGGUGUGAGAGCACGACCUGCGCCACUGGCACUGAGACACUGGCCAGACUCCUACGGGAGGCUGCAGUCGAGGAUCUUUGGCAAUGGGCGCAAGCCUGACCAAGCGACGCCGCGUGCGCGAUGAAGGCCUUCGGGUUGUAAAGCGCUGUCGAGGGGGAGGAAGCCGCAAGGUUGACCUAUCCCUGGAGGAAGGACGGGCUAAGUUCGUGCCAGCAGCCGCAGUAACAC